UCAGGAUGAACGCUAGCUACAGGCUUAACACAUGCAAGUCGAGGGGCAGCAUGGUCUUAGCUUGCUAAGGCCGAUGGCGACCGGCGCACGGGUGAGUAACACGUAUCCAACCUGCCGUCUACUCUUGGACAGCCUUCUGAAAGGAAGAUUAAUACAAGAUGGCAUCAUGAGUCCGCAUGUUCACAUGAUUAAAGGUAUUCCGGUAGACGAUGGGGAUGCGUUCCAUUAGAUAGUAGGCGGGGUAACGGCCCACCUAGUCUUCGAUGGAUAGGGGUUCUGAGAGGAAGGUCCCCCACAUUGGAACUGAGACACGGUCCAAACUCCUACGGGAGGCAGCAGUGAGGAAUAUUGGUCAAUGGGCGAGAGCCUGAACCAGCCAAGUAGCGUGAAGGAUGACUGCCCUAUGGGUUGUAAACUUCUUUUAUAAAGGAAUAAAGUCGGGUAUGGAUACCCGUUUGCAUGUACUUUAUGAAUAAGGAUCGGCUAACUCCGUGCCAGCAGCCGCGGUAAUACGGAGGAUCCGAGCGUUAUCCGGAUUUAUUGGGUUUAAAGGGAGCGUAGAUGGAUGUUUAAGUCAGUUGUGAAAGUUUGCGGCUCAACCGUAAAAUUGCAGUUGAUACUGGAUAUCUUGAGUGCAGUUGAGGCAGGCGGAAUUCGUGGUGUAGCGGUGAAGUGCUUAGAUAUCACGAAGAACUCCGAUUGCGAAGGCAGCCUGCUAAGCUGCAACUGACAUUGAGGCUCGAAAGUGUGGGUAUCAAACAGGAUUAGAUACCCUGGUAGUCCACACGGUAAACGAUGAAUACUCGCUGUUUGCGAUAUACUGCAAGCGGCCAAGCGAAAGCGUUAAGUAUUCCACCUGGGGAGUACGCCGGCAACGGUGAAACUCAAAGGAAUUGACGGGGGCCCGCACAAGCGGAGGAACAUGUGGUUUAAUUCGAUGAUACGCGAGGAACCUUACCCGGGCUUAAAUUGCAGAUGAAUUACGGUGAAAGCCGUAAGCCGCAAGGCAUCUGUGAAGGUGCUGCAUGGUUGUCGUCAGCUCGUGCCGUGAGGUGUCGGCUUAAGUGCCAUAACGAGCGCAACCCUUGUUGUCAGUUACUAACAGGUUCCGCUGAGGACUCUGACAAGACUGCCAUCGUAAGAUGUGAGGAAGGUGGGGAUGACGUCAAAUCAGCACGGCCCUUACGUCCGGGGCUACACACGUGUUACAAUGGGGGGUACAGAGGGCCGCUACCACGCGAGUGGAUGCCAAUCCCCAAAACCUCUCUCAGUUCGGACUGGAGUCUGCAACCCGACUCCACGAAGCUGGAUUCGCUAGUAAUCGCGCAUCAGCCACGGCGCGGUGAAUACGUUCCCGGGCCUUGUACACACCGCCCGUCAAGCCAUGGGAG
rnacentral:rRNA from 1 species